GUAAAUAUAACUCAGUUGGUAGAGUAUUGAUUUGUGGCAUCAAUUGUCAAGGGUUCAAUUCCCUUUAUUUACC
rnacentral:tRNA from 1 species